UCCCUGGUGGCUCAGCUGGUAAAGAAUCCGCCUGCAAUGCGGGAGACCUGGGUUCGAUCCCUGGGUCGGGAA
rnacentral:tRNA from 1 species